UGGGGAAUUUUGGACAAUGGGCGAAAGCCUGAUCCAGCAAUGCCGCGUGUGUGAAGAAGGCCUUCGGGUUGUAAAGCACUUUUGUCCGGAAAGAAAUCCUUGGCUCUAAUACAGUCGGGGGAUGACGGUACCGGAAGAAUAAGCACCGGCUAACUACGUGCCAGCAGCCGCGGUAAUACGUAGGGUGCAAGCGUUAAUCGGAAUUACUGGGCGUAAAGCGUGCGCAGGCGGUUUGCUAAGACCGAUGUGAAAUCCCCGGGCUCAACCUGGGAACUGCAUUGGUGACUGGCAGGCUAGAGUAUGGCAGAGGGGGGUAGAAUUCCACGUGUAGCAGUGAAAUGCGUAGAGAUGUGGAGGAAUACCGAUGGCGAAGGCAGCCCCCUGGGGCCAAAUACUGACGCUCAUGCACGAAAAGCGUGGGGAGCAAACAGGAUUAGAUACCCUGGUAGUCCACGCCCUAAACGAUGUCAACUAGUUGUUGGGGAUUCAUUUCCUUAGUAACGUAGCUAACGCGUGAAGUUGACCGCCUGGGGAGUACGGUCGCAAGAUUAAAACUCAAAUGAAUUGAC
rnacentral:rRNA from 1 species